rnacentral:lncRNA from 1 species
CAAAAUAUAUGCAAGUAUCAAGACAUCAUGUUUAAACCAUAAAUAUAUAUAAUUUUUAUUUGUCACUUCAGCCUUAACAAAGCUGGAGGAAAAUAUUUACAUGUCAGCAAUAGUUUAUUAGCUGUGACAAAUGUUUGUAUACUUAUAUAAUAAGUUAAUAAUAGGGGAACUGGAUAUGGGGUUUAUAGAACCCUCAAUAUAAUCUUUGCAACUUCAUAAAUUUAAAAUGAUCCUAAAAUUAGGCUUAUUUUUAAAAAAGAAUAUGACAAGGAAAAGAGUCUAUAGUUCAAGUUUAAUUUUCAUCUUGCUAAGAGCCUUGCUAAGUAAAUAAAAUAGCUGUUGGUGUUCUGGGCUGAUUGUGGUGUAAAGUGGGGCAAUUCUUCCUCACUGUCUUCUUAUAAAGCCGUGAGAGUUUGUUUGCAGAAUCAGAGAAUGCAGGAUUUCUAAAUGUCCUCCUGUGGAAUUUCCUACUGGCAUGACUUUUUCCCCCCUUUGCUUUUUUGCCCAGUAGCAGUCCCUUGAGUGGCAUUUGCUGUCCUAGUUAAUCAGAGGAUAGGAGAAAUGAAAAACUCUCCUCUUCCCCCUCCCAUGAAGUUUCAAUGGGCACUGCAAAUGUAGGUCAAAUUGCAUCACUGUAGAGAGGAGCGAACAGGAAGGUAUUUAGGAAGUGCUGCCAACCUCACUUUAGAUUCAGUGGCAAUGAACCGGUGUUGAGCCCGCUUAGGUGUGAGAUUCAGGAUCAGAGGAUCAUGUUUGUGAUAUAGUCCCGGAAUGUUACGUUUCAAUCCAUGACAAAAAGGUCUCUGUCUAAAACCCUAGUAAAAAUAACUUAAACUGGCUUUGUUAGAUGUGCAACUACCAGCUUCUGGAAUUCUUUUUGUCUCUUAUUUAUUAUUGACAUACUACAGCAAUUUAUAUUAAUUUAGCCAGAGAGAUGCUUGAAUUAUAGAAACUAUUGCCAUGUAUAUGUAUACAAAAUCUACUGUUUGGUAAUCACAUAAGUCUAAUAAUGUAUUUUGCAAAUUACGUAUUAUCAUAUGCUCAGUGACAUCUUGAUUAGCAUACAGAAACCACAAAUUAUGUUUUUUUAAAUCAUGUUUAAAGUAUGCUUUCUUAUAGACUUUAAAGAUGUAAGAAGUCUUUAAAUUCAUGUCUUUAUUUUUCACAUACUGUAUGCUCCCUGCUCCUUUGUAAGACAUCCAGAUAUUGACUGCUAGAAUGUUCCAUGUUACUGACCUUGUCAGGAAGAGUAAGC